ensembl:lncRNA
AUGGAAACGGGGCGACCGACAACACUGGCAAGCUGCAAGCUCCGUUUCUUGCUGCUGUUUUCACUGCUUUCGAAAUGGUGUAGUGUUUUCGAACAAGUCCGUAAGCAUCUUAACCGUUAUCAGAGGAGUAAGAUUUGUGGCAGUAAAGUAUGUGAUCCUCGGCAGGAAUCAUCUCCUCUAACAUAUGGGUGUCUCCUGGUCCAAAAGGCUUCUCUGUGGGCCAGAGUCUGCUAA